rnacentral:rRNA from 1 species
GAUCCAGACUUUGAUUAUGGCUCAGGAUGAACGCUAGCUACAGGCUUAACACAUGCAAGUCGAGGGGAAACGAUAUUGGAAGCUUGCUUCCGACAGGCGUCGACCGGCGCACGGGUGAGUAACGCGUAUCCAACCUGCCCACCACUUGGGGAUAACCUUGCGAAAGUAAGACUAAUACCCAAUGAUAUCUCUAGAAGACAUCUGAAAGGGAUUAAAGAUUUAUCGGUGAUGGAUGGGGAUGCGUCUGAUUAGCUUGUUGGCGGGGUAACGGCCCACCAAGGCGACGAUCAGUAGGGGUUCUGAGAGGAAGGUCCCCCACAUUGGAACUGAGACACGGUCCAAACUCCUACGGGAGGCAGCAGUGAGGAAUAUUGGUCAAUGGGCGAGAGCCUGAACCAGCCAAGUAGCGUGCAGGAUGACGGCCCUAUGGGUUGUAAACUGCUUUUAUAAGGGAAUAAAGUGAGUCUCGUGAGACUUUUUGCAUGUACCUUAUGAAUAAGGACCGGCUAAUUCCGUGCCAGCAGCCGCGGUAAUACGGAAGGUCCGGGCGUUAUCCGGAUUUAUUGGGUUUAAAGGGAGCGUAGGCCGGAGAUUAAGCGUGUUGUGAAAUGUAGACGCUCAACGUCUGCACUGCAGCGCGAACUGGUUUCCUUGAGUACGCACAAAGUGGGCGGAAUUCGUGGUGUAGCGGUGAAAUGCUUAGAUAUCACGAAGAACUCCGAUUGCGAAGGCAGCUCACUGGAGCGCAACUGACGCUGAAGCUCGAAAGUGCGGGUAUCGAACAGGAUUAGAUACCCUGGUAGUCCGCACGGUAAACGAUGGAUGCCCGCUGUUGGUCUGAAUAGGUCAGCGGCCAAGCGAAAGCAUUAAGCAUCCCACCUGGGGAGUACGCCGGCAACGGUGCAACUCAAAGGAAUUGACGG